AUAAAAAGGAAGUACAGGAGCUGUUGAGUGCCCUGGACAAAAAGCACAACGAUAAAAUAGAAGAAGUAAAAAGAACUUUCAAUGAAUAUCGCACUAAUGUCGAAUCAUCAAUUAAGCACAAGGGGCCGAGGUGUUUUGCCUGUCAGGCGUAUGGGCACAAAGGACCAGACUGUCCCAAUAAAGGGAAAGGAUACUUGUGCUACAAGUGCAAUCAAUUUGGGAAUCACAAGGCGAGAGAUUGCCCAAACAUAACUAACAAUGACAAUGCACCAAGUGGUCCGGGAUACUCUAAACAGACUCCAAGGAAGUAACUGAUUAGGCGAGAUGGAAACUGAGGAGUUAAA